GGCCAUUGGAACAAAUUGUCCUCAUCAGCCCAUUCUGCUGAGGUCUUCACAUGCUUGGAGUAGACUCCCUUGCCAAACUCAUCAAUGUAUUUGAGGCCUAACAGUUAUCUUCAACCUGGUUUAGCCCUUCUGGGGUGUGGCUGCUGUGCAUGUUACAGCUUGUGGAAGCCACAGGUUCCUUGCUAAUGAACAAACCAGGAAGCAUUUACGAAGCACCUAUAAUGUGCCAGGAAGGCAGAUUCCCUCCAUUUCUGGUCGCCAUUUGUAAGGUCAAGAAUGUCAAGAGAGAAGAUGGACGAUGUCAACCCCACUUCCGGUUUCUGAAGGAAAAGAGUCUGGAAAGAAGCUGACAUCAAAGGAGCUGGCAGUCACCAUCACCUCCCUAUCCCCAGUUUACUACACUAGAAACUUCGGGGAAUUUCUCCUUGGGUGAAAUCUGGGACUCUUUUCUUCUUGAGAUGAGUUACCUUUCUUCUAAAAGAAUUCCUUCCCACCUUGUGC